UGGCUGUCGUCAGGCUCGUGUCGUGAGAUGUUGGGUUAAGGUCCCGUAACGAGCGCAACCCUUGUCCUUAGUUACCAGCACGUUAUGGUGGGCACUCUAAGGAGACUGCCGGUGACAAACCGGGGAAGGUGGGGAGUGACGUCAAGUCAUCAUGGCCCUUACGGCCUGGGCUACACACGUGCUACAAUGGUCGGUACAAAGGGUUGCCAAGCCGCGAGGUGGAGCUAAUCCCAUAAAAACCGAUCGUAGUCCGGAUCGCAGUCUGCAACUCGACUGCGUGAAGUCGGAAUCGCUAGUAAUUCGAGAUCAGCAUGCUCGGGUGAAUGCGUUCCCGGGCCUU
rnacentral:rRNA from 1 species